rnacentral:tRNA from 1 species
ACCUGGCUGGCUCAGUUGGUAGAGUAUGUGACUCUUGAUCUUGGGGUUGUGAGUUUGAGUCCCACGUUGGGUA